UACGGAGGGGACUAGCGUUGUUCGGAAUUACUGGGCGUAAAGCGCACGUAGGCGGAUUUGUAAGUCAGGGGUGAAAUCCCGGGGCUCAACCUCGGAACUGCCUUUGAUACUGCAAAUCUCGAGUCCGGAAGAGGUGAGUGGAACUCCGAGUGUAGAGGUGAAAUUCGUAGAUAUUCGGAAGAACACCAGUGGCGAAGGCGGCUCACUGGUCCGGUACUGACGCUGAGGUGCGAAAGCAUGGGGAGCGAACAGG
rnacentral:rRNA from 1 species